UCGAAUGUUCGCAUCUCAAAUUGUGCAUUAAAAAUCCAGAGCACUAAAAAAACAUCAUGCAUGACAUUAUAUUUCACCUAAUAUAAAAUGAUUCAAGCGAAACGUACAUUAAACAGUAUCGGAAAGCAACUCUAUGGCAAAUAGAACAUAUAAAAUUGACAAUCGGAUAUUGUCAAAAAUUGAGCUGCAGAACACGCAGAUGAGCCGGAAAUGUACCGAGUACCGUGUACUUGCGGAGUCUUGUGAAGUUGAUCAAGCGUAACCUACAGUAAACAGAAACGAAAAACAACUCUAUGGCGAAGACUAUAUACAAACUGACCAUUGGAUCUUUGUAAGAAUUAA